CGGGUGAGUAACGCGUAUGCGACCUGCCCGUUGCAGGGGGGAUAAUCGGGAGAAAUCCCGUCUAAUACCGCGUAACGCCGCAGGGCUGCAUGGCCCUGCGGCCAAAGGGAGCGAUUCCGGCAACGGAUGGGCAUGCGUGACAUUAGCUAGUUGGCGGGGCAACGGCCCACCAAGGCGACGAUGUCUAGGGGUUCUGAGAGGAAGGUCCCCCACACUGGUACUGAGACACGGACCAGACUCCUACGGAAGGCAGCAG
rnacentral:rRNA from 1 species